GCCGGCAUAGCUCAGUUGGUAGAGCAGCUGAUUCGUAAUCAGCAGGCCAUCGGUUCGAGUCCGAUUGCCGGCUCCA
rnacentral:tRNA from 1 species